rnacentral:rRNA from 1 species
AACCUACGGGGCGCAGCAGUGGGGGAUAUUGCACAAUGGGGGAAACCCUGAUGCAGCGACGCCGCGUGGGUGAAGAAGCGCCUCGGCGCGUAAAGCCCUGUCAGCAGGGAAGAAAAUGACGGUACCUGAAGAAGAAGCCCCGGCUAACUACGUGCCAGCAGCCGCGGUAAUACGUAGGGGGCAAGAGUUAUCCGGAUUUACUGGGGGUAAAGGGGGCGCAGACGGCGAUGCAAGCCAGGAGUGAAAGCCCGGGGCCCAACCACGGGCAUGCUCUUGGAACUGCGUGGCUAGAGGGCAGGAGGGGG